UGUUCUGUGGCUUAGUUGGUCAAAGCGCCGGUCUAGCGAAUACGGAGGCGCGGGUUCGAAUCCCACCAGAUCGC
rnacentral:tRNA from 1 species